UAAAUUAAAGUGAAACCGCGAAUGGCUCAUUAAAUCAGUUAUGGUUCCUUGGAUCCUACCAAUCCUACUUGGACARCUGUGGUAAUUCUAGAGCUAAUACAUGCACCCAGAGCCCCGUCCAGAAAUGGUCGGGGCGCAGUUAUUAGAUCAAAACCAAUCGGUCGGGCUCGCCCGUCCGUAGUUUUGGUGACUCGGAAUAACCACGGCUGAUCGCACGGCCUCGCGCCGGCGACGUAUCCUUCGAAUGUCUGCCUUAUCAACUGUCGAUGGUAGGUUCUGCGCCUACCAUGGUUGUAACGGGUAACGGGGAAUCAGGGUUCGAUUCCGGAGAGGGAGCCUGAGAAACGGCUACCACAUCCAAGGAAGGCAGCAGGCGCGCAAAUUACCCACUCCCGGCACGGGGAGGUAGUGACGAAAAAUAACGAUACGGGACUCAUCCGAGGCCCCGUAAUCGGAAUGAGAACACUUUAAAUCUUUAACGAGUACCUAAUGAGGGCAAGUCUGGUGCCAGCA
rnacentral:rRNA from 1 species